UAGGUUCAUUAUUAGUACCAUGCUUUCUGAAAUGCAAAGUUAAUAUAUUUAACUUUUUUCCAGAUAUCUUUUCGCAUCGUACAAACUAGGACAUAUAUUGACUCGUAAAGUUCAUAUCAUCCCAUCAUCAAGUUAAUCUUAUCUCUGUUUAGUCCGCAUGCUAAGUUUGUCUUAAGUCAACUUUCUAAACUUCAACAAAAGUUCAUUGAGAAAAACACCAGCAUUCACAAUACCCAAACAAUAUCACUAGAUUCAUCAUAGAAUAUAUCUUCAGUACUGUAGAUGUUGAUACUUCUCAAAAAGAAACGGGAGGACUAUUUUUUUCCAUAGUUAUAGCGUUGUUUUUAAUACGGCUAUUUUAUCUUAGAUGGUGCGCCGUGAACUUCUUUGACUCUGCAUUGUCUUGAAUUUAGUGCAUGGCUGAAUUUGUAGUGUGGUUGUGGUAAACUGUCAUUAUUAAGGUGUAAUUUUGAAUGUUGACCUUUUGUCUGGGUUAGUUAUCGGUCUCUUUCCAAAGCUUUGGUGGCACUUUGAUUUGUCGAAAAAAUAACAACUAUUUGAAGAAUGUUCUACCGGAUAGUCAUGUACCUGAUAUUAGUUGUGUCUUUUCUCUUUUGAGGUAACCGCAAAAAUUGCAAGCUUGAAAAGAUGAACUUGUAUGUGGUCUGGGACUUGGUGGUGUAUUUGGUAUCUUGCACUUUUUUUAGAUCUCUAGCAUGCAUCUUUGCUAUUUAUGUGCUAUUUUUUCCCUUAUAGUGCAUUAAUACACAGAACUACUUUUUGUAUUUUUUUUCCUUAGUGCGUAAUUUAUGUUUCUUUUCUUUUUGUAUUUAGCUCUUAUGUUUACUAGUUCUACUUGGUUGUCGCUCAUGAAAAUCUCUGCACCGCAGUUAUCCAUGCUCGAGUAUAAUUAACUUAAAACAUCUUAGAAUUAUGUGAAGUUGUCUGUAUCCCAUACCAUAUUGAGGUCUGUCCACAUUUUGGUUAUAAUAAGGCUUGUCCGUCUAAGAUAGUUG
rnacentral:lncRNA from 1 species